CGCCUUUAACUACAGGGUCGUACUGCGGCGGGAAUGUUGAAUAGCAGUGUGGCUGGGGGAGGCCUCAGCCCGUAACCGAUGUGGGAAAUGAACCCAGAAAGGAUUGGCUCAUAGACAAAUGACUGGACUUUUUCCUGAAGAUAUUUCUGAAACAGUGCACAAUUCAUGGUACCUUUGGUCAUCUCACAAUUUAAUAAACCAUUACUGAUCCUCAA